rnacentral:rRNA from 1 species
UUAGUGGCGAACGGGUGAGUAACACGUGGGCAAUCUGCCCUGCACUCUGGGACAAGCCCUGGAAACGGGGUCUAAUACCGGAUACUGAUCCUCGCAGGCAUCUGCGAGGUUCGAAAGCUCCGGCGGUGCAGGAUGAGCCCGCGGCCUAUCAGCUUGUUGGUGAGGUAACGGCUCACCAAGGCGACGACGGGUAGCCGGCCUGAGAGGGCGACCGGCCACACUGGGGCUGAGACACGGCCCAGACUCCUACGGGAGGCAGCAGUGGGGAAUAUUGCACAAUGGGCGAAAGCCUGAUGCAGCGACGCCGCGUGAGGGAUGACGGCCUUCGGGUUGUAAACCUCUUUCAGCAGGGAAAAA